rnacentral:rRNA from 1 species
CCUACGGGGGCUGCAGUGGGGAAUAUUGGACAAUGGGCGAAAGCCUGAUCCAGCCAUGCCGCGUGUGUGAAGAAGGCCUUCGGGUUGUAAAGCACUUUCAGUGGGGAAGAAAGCCUUGGGGCUAAUACCCUCGAGGAAGGACAUCACCCACAGAAGAAGCACCGGCUAACUCCGUGCCAGCAGCCGCGGUAAUACGGAGGGUGCGGGCGUUAAUCGGAAUUACUGGGCGUAAAGCGCGCGUAGGCGGUCUGAUAAGCCGGUUGUGAAAGCCCCGGGCUCAACCUGGGAACGGCAUCCGGAACUGUCAGGCUAGAGUGCAGGAGAGGAAGGUAGAAUUCCCGGUGUAGCGGUGAAAUGCGUAGAGAUCGGGAGGAAUACCAGUGGCGAAGGCGGCCUUCUGGACUGACACUGACGCUGAGGUGCGAAAGCGUGGGUAGCAAACAGGAUUAGAUACCCGGGUAGUC